UCUGCCUGGUAGUGGGGGAUAACGUUCGGAAACGGACGCUAAUACCGCAUACGUCCUACGGGAGAAAGCAGGGGACCUUCGGGCCUUGCGCUAUCAGAUGAGCCUAGGUCGGAUUAGCUAGUUGGUGGGGUAAUGGCUCACCAAGGCGACGAUCCGUAACUGGUCUGAGAGGGUGAUCAGUCACACUGGAACUGAGACACGGUCCAGACUCCUACGGGAGGCAGCAGUGGGGAAUAUUGGACAAUGGGCGAAAGCCUGAUCCAGCCAUGCCGCGUGUGUGAAGAAGGUCUUCGGAUUGUAAAGCACUUUAAGUUGGGAGGAAGGGUUGUAGAUUAAUACUCUGCAAUUUUGACGUUACCGACAGAAUAAGCACCGGCUAACUCUGUGCCAGCAGCCGCGGUAAUACAGAGGGUGCAAGCGUUAAUCGGAAUUACUGGGCGUAAAGCGCGCGUAGGUGGUUUGUUAAGUUGGAUGUGAAAUCCCCGGGCUCAACCUGGGAACUGCAUUCAAAACUGACUGACUAGAGUAUGGUAGAGGGUGGUGGAAUUUCCUGUGUAGCGGUGAAAUGCGUAGAUAUAGGAAGGAACACCAGUGGCGAAGGCGACCACCUGGACUAAUACUGACACUGAGGUGCGAAAGCGUGGGGGAGCAAAC
rnacentral:rRNA from 1 species